rnacentral:rRNA from 1 species
CCUACGGGAGGCAGUGGGGAAUAUUGUGCAAUGGGCGCAAGCCUGACGCAGCAACGCCGCGUGGAGGAAGAAGGCUGUCGGGUUGUAAACUUCUCUUAUCAGGGACGAAGCAAGUGACGGUAACUGAGGAAUAAGCCAGGGCUAACUACGUGCCGGCAGCCGCGGUAAUACGGAGGUGGCAGGCGUUAUCCGGAUUUACUGUGUGUAAAGGGGGUGUAGGCGGGACAGCAAGUCAGACGUGAAAACUUUGGGCUCAACCCAUAGCCUGCAUUUGAAACUGUACUUCUUGAGUGCGGGAGAGGCAGGCGGAAUUCGGGGUGUAGCGGUGAAAUGCGUAGAUAUACGGAGGAACACCCGUGGCGAAGGCGGACUGCUGGACAGUAACUGACGCUGAAGCGCGAAAGCGUGGGGAGCAAACAGGAUUAGAUACCCGGGUAGUC